GACAGAGGGUGCAAACGUUGUUCGGAAUUACUGGGCGUAAAGCGCGUGUAGGCUGCUCCGAAAGUCGGAUGUGAAAGCCCUGGGCUCAACCUAGGAAGUGCACUCGAAACUUCGGAGCUGGAGUCCUGGAGAGGAAGGCGGAAGUUCUCGGUGUAGAGGUGAAAUUCGUAGAUAUCGAGAGGAACACCGGUGGCGAAGGCGGCCUUAGCUGGGACCAGUCGACUGACGCUGAGA
rnacentral:rRNA from 1 species